rnacentral:rRNA from 1 species
UGAGGAAUAUUGCACAAUGGAGGAAACUCUGAUGCAGCUAUGCCGCGUGAGUGAUGAAGGCCCUAGGGUUGUAAAGCUCUUUCGCAAGGGAAGAUAAUGACGGUACCUUGAUAAGAAGCCCCGGCUAACUUCGUGCCAGCAGCCGCGGUAAUACGAAGGGGGCAAGCGUUAUUCGGAAUCACUGGGCGUAAAGCGCGUGUAGGCGGAUUGGACAGUCAGAUGUGAAAGCCCGGGGCUCAACCUCGGAACUGCAUUUGAAACUAUCAAUCUAGUAUCACCUAGAGGGUGGUGGAAUUCCUGGUGUAGCGGUGAAAUGCGUAGAUAUCAGGAGGAACACCGGUGGCGAAGGCGACCACCUGGGGGUGUAUAGACGCUGAGACGCGAAAGCGUGGGGAGCAAACGGGAUUAGAUACCCCCGUAGUCC